GAUGAACGCUAGCUACAGGCUUAACACAUGCAAGUCGAGGGGCAGCAUGAUUGAAGCUUGCUUCAAUUGAUGGCGACCGGCGCACGGGUGAGUAACACGUAUCCAACCUUCCGUACACUCAGGGAUAGCCUUUCGAAAGAAAGAUUAAUACCUGAUGGUAUCUUAAGCACACAUGUAAUUAAGAUUAAAGAUUUAUCGGUGUACGAUGGGGAUGCGUUCCAUUAGGUAGUAGGCGGGGUAACGGCCCACCUAGCCUACGAUGGAUAGGGGUUCUGAGAGGAAGGUCCCCCACAUUGGAACUGAGACACGGUCCAAACUCCUACGGGAGGCAGCAGUGAGGAAUAUUGGUCAAUGGACGAGAGUCUGAACCGGCCAAGUAGCGUGAAGGAUGAAGGUCCUACGGAUUGUAAACUUCUUUUAUAAGGGAAUAAAACCUCCCACGUGUGGGAGCUUGUAUGUACCUUAUGAAUAAGCAUCGGCUAACUCCGUG
rnacentral:rRNA from 1 species